UCUCUCUCUCUCUCUCUCUCUUUGAUGCACUGCUGAACUUGAAAUUAUUAUAUACUAUUAUUAGUUUUGUCUUGGUAAUUCACACCAUCAUCACCUCCCUCCGCAACAACUCUACCCACCGUUAUUUGAUACAGUCUAUUUCAUCUUCUUUCUAUUCUUCUCGCAGUUUCUCUAUUAGCUUGGUUUGCUACCAUUCAGUGUGCAGUGGCUUGCUGCACAAAGAAAUUACUCUACCCAAAAAACCCGUUUUGAAGGAGAGAUGAAAAUGAAUUUCUUCGUUUUGUGCUUUUCUUUAAUUUAUGUUGCAACCCUUUUCAGUACUUGCUGUCUUGCUCUCACUGAUGAUGGUCUGGCAUUGUUGGAAAUCAAGAGCACAUUGAAUGAUAGUAGAAACAUACUAGGUAACUGGCAAUCUACUGAUGAAUCUCCUUGCAAAUGGACUGGUAUUUCUUGCCAUCCCCAUGAUCAAAGAGUCAGUUCAAUAAACCUGCCUUACAUGCAGUUGGGAGGGAUUAUUUCUCCUAGCAUUGGUAAACUCGGUAGACUACAAAGGCUGGCACUUCACCAAAACAGUUUACAUGGGAUUAUUCCCAACGAAAUCACCAAUUGUACGGAGCUCAGAGCAGUGUGAGGAAAAAAUGGGAAUUUCUCUCUUUCGUUUCUUUUUUAUGCAUAUUUGAGGAGUCCCAAAGGAAUGUUUAUAUUUUUCCUCAUCUGUAAUGGACUAUUUGUAGGUACUUGAGGUCUAAUUAUCUACAAGGAGGCAUUCCGUCAGAUAUUGGAAACCUAUCUCAUCUCACUAUACUGGACUUGUCAAGCAACAUGCUAAAAGGUGCUAUACCUUCAUCUAUUGGCCGGCUUACUCGUUUGGGCCACCUGAAUUUGUCUACCAACUUUUUCUCUGGUGAAAUCCCAGAUUUUGGAGCUUUAAGCACUUUUGGGAACAGCUCGUAAGUGCACAUAAUGACAACCGUGAUCAGCUUCGAGGCUAUGCUUGUUGCAAUAUCUGGUUUCAUGAGUAAUACAUUGACAGGCUUAUUGGUAUCUUAUACUUUGUAGCCUGAUGAUAUUAUAUGUCGUGAAUAGCCUGAACCAUGCCCAUUCUGAGUUACAACAGCUUUAGUGAAUACAUUGAAUAGCACUUACUUGGUUUAGUUGUUGUCUUGUCAACAGAAAUAGCAUGUUUAUAGGCAUAAGUGAAGUAUGCAUUGUUGGUAUGUAACACUAAAUGAACAGAGAUAAAUACAUGAUUAAAAAUUUAGGACUUUGACUAAUAGUAUGCUGAAAAUCUGAUGUCAGCAUCUCUGUAUAGUUACAUGAGGCAAUAACAUACAUGAACAUGAGUUUUCAUUGCUGAGCCACCCACCUUUCUUUUCAUAGGUUUAUUGGCAAUUUAGAUCUUUGUGGUAGACAAGUGCACAAGCCAUGUCGAACCUCAAUGGGAUUUCCUGCAGUGCUUCCACAUGCUGCAAGUGAUGAAGCAGCAGGCAAGUUCCUUACUACAUUUUCUGGGACUACCAACUGUGAGUAAAUUAAUACUGGGGAUUUUUGCAGUUCCUGCAAAACGAUCCUCUCAUUACAUCAAAGGGGUGCUUAUUGGUGUUAUGGCCACAAUGGCCCUUACACUAGCUGUGCUUCUUGCAUUCCUCUGGAUUUGCCUGUUUUCAAAGAAGGAAAGAGCUGCUGAGAAAUACACAGAAGUCAAAAAGCAAGUUGAUCAAGAAGCAAGUGCAAAGCUUAUUACUUUCCAUGGUGACCUGCCUUAUCCUUCAUGUGAGAUCGUAGAAAAGCUAGAGUCUCUUGAUCAGGAGGAUGUUGUAGGUUCAGGAGGAUUUGGUACUGUAUACCGGAUGGUGAUGAAUGAUUGUGGAACAUUUGCUGUUAAAAGGAUUGACCGGAGUCGUGAAGGAUCUGAUCAAGUAUUUGAGAGGGAGUUAGAGAUCUUGGGUAGCAUCAAUCACAUAAAUUUAGUGAAUCUGAGGGGUUACUGCAGGCUUCCAAUGACAAAACUUCUCAUCUAUGAUUAUCUAGCCAUGGGCAGUUUAGAUGACAUUUUGCAUGAAUGUAGCCAAGAACAACCAUUAAAUUGGAGUGCUCGUUUAAGAAUUGCUUUAGGUUCUGCAAGAGGCCUUGCGUACUUGCACCAUGAUUGCAGCCCAAAGAUAGUCCAUCGUGACAUAAAAUCCAGCAAUAUUCUCCUUGAUGAAAAUUUGGAGCCACGUGUCUCUGACUUUGGUCUUGCCAAACUUUUGGUGGAUGAGGAUGCCCAUGUCACGACUGUAGUUGCUGGCACUUUUGGUUAUUUGGCACCUGAGUAUCUACAAAGUGGGAGGGCCACUGAAAAGUCGGAUGUCUAUAGCUUUGGAGUUCUCUUGCUAGAGAUUGUAACCGGAAAAAGACCUACUGAUCCAGCUUUUGUAAAGAGAGGCUUAAAUGUCGUUGGUUGGAUGAACACACUAUUAAGAGAGAAUCGGUUGGAAGAUGUGGUAGAUAAAAGGUGCACUGAUGGAAAUAUGGAGACUGUGGAAGUCAUUCUUGAAAUAGCGGCAAGAUGCACCGAUGCGAACCCUGAUGAUCGGCCAACAAUGAACCAGGUAUUGCAGUUGUUAGAGCAAGAGGUCAUGUCUCCUUGUCCAAGUGAAAUCUACGAGACUCAUUCAGAUUAUUCUUGAAUCACAUAAAGCAUUCAGUGUGUCACAGCUACCGAAUAUUUAUCCAUCCAGCUAGAUGUAUUUAUUACAUCCUCAACAAAGUUGUGAUAUUAUGCCUGUCCCUAUAAUUGGGGCCUGUAAAUUCUUUCCAUGCAAAUGCUGGAUUUCCAUUUUGUUUUGCACCUCUUGAAUUUCCAUGUUUGCUUUCAUUUCUACUUCAAGUUGAAUGAAGUCAAUAAACAAUUCUACA
rnacentral:misc_RNA from 1 species